AGUGAACGCUGGCGGUAGGCCUAACACAUGCAAGUCGAACGGCAGCACAGUAAGAGCUUGCUCUUACGGGUGGCGAGUGGCGGACGGGUGAGGAAUACAUCGGAAUCUACUUUUUCGUGGGGGAUAACGUAGGGAAACUUACCCUAUUACCCCUUACUACCUACGGUUUAAAUCAGGGGUUCUUCGGACUUUCCCCGUUUUAUUGACCCGAUUUCGGAUUAGCUAGUUGGCGGGGUAAAGGCCCACCAAGGCGACGAUCCGUAGCUGGUCUGAGAGGAUGAUCAGCCACACUGGAACUGAGACACGGUCCAGACUCCUACGGGAGGCAGAAGUGGGGAAUAUUGGACAAUGGGCGCAAGCCUGAUCCAGCCAUACCGCGUGGGUGAAGAAGGCCUUCGGGUUGUAAAGCCCUUUUGUUGGGAAAGAAAAGCAGCAGGUUAAUACCCCGCUGUUCUGACGGUAACCAAAGAAUAAGCACCGGCUAACUUCGUG
rnacentral:rRNA from 1 species